GACGAACGCUGGCGGCGUGCUUAACACAUGCAAGUCGAACGGAAAGGCCCUGCUUGCAGGGUGCUCGAGUGGCGAACGGGUGAGUAACACGUGGGUGAUCUGCCCCUUACUUUGGGAUAGCCUGGGAAACUGGGUCUAAUACUGGAUAGGACCAUGCUGUAGGUGGUGUGGUGGAAAGAUUAGUUUCGGUAAGGGAUGAGCUCGCGGCCUAUCAGCUUGUUGGUGGGGUAAUGGCCUACCAAGGCGUCGACGGGUAGCCGGCCUGAGAGGGUGGACGGCCACAUUGGGACUGAGAUACGGCCCAGACUCCUACGGGAGGCAGCAGAGGGGAAUAUUGCACAAUGGGCGCAAGCCUGAUGCAGCGACGCCGCGUGGGGGAUGACGGCCUUCGGGUUGUAAACUCCUUUCAGCCAUGACGAAGCCCUUGUGGUGACGGUAGUGGUAGAAGAAGCACCGGCUAACUACGUG
rnacentral:rRNA from 1 species